rnacentral:rRNA from 1 species
GACGAACGCUGGCGGCGUGCUUAACACAUGCAAGUCGAACGGAAAGGCCCUGCUUUUGUGGGGUGCUCGAGUGGCGAACGGGUGAGUAACACGUGAGUAACCUGCCCUUGACUUUGGGAUAACUUCAGGAAACUGGGGCUAAUACCGGAUAGGAGCUCCUGCUGCAUGGUGGGGGUUGGAAAGUUUCGGCGGUUGGGGAUGGACUCGCGGCUUAUCAGCUUGUUGGUGGGGUAGUGGCUUACCAAGGCUUUGACGGGUAGCCCGCCUGAGAGGGUGACCGGCCACAUGGGGACUGAGAUACGGACCAGACUCCUACGGGAGGCAGCAGUGGGGAAUAUUGCACAAUGGGCGGAAGCCUGAUGCAGCAACGCCGCGUGCGGGAUGACGGCCUUCGGGUUGUAAACCGCUUUCGCAUGUGACGAAGAGUGAGUGACGGUAAUGGGUAAAGAAGCACCGGCUAACUACGUG